rnacentral:rRNA from 1 species
GAGCGGCGAACGGGUGAGUAACACGUGAGUAACCUGCCCCAGACUUUGGGAUAACCCUCGGAAACGGGGGCUAAUACCGGAUACGACUUUCUCUCGCAUGGGAUGAAAGUGGAAAGUUUUUCGGUUUGGGAUGGGCUCGCGGCCUAUCAGCUUGUUGGUGGGGUGAUGGCCUACCAAGGCGACGACGGGUAGCCGGCCUGAGAGGGCGACCGGCCACACUGGGACUGAGACACGGCCCAGACUCCUACGGGAGGCAGCAGUGGGGAAUAUUGCACAAUGGGCGGAAGCCUGAUGCAGCGACGCCGCGUGAGGGAUGACGGCCUUCGGGUUGUAAACCUCUUUCAGCAGGGACGAAGCGAGAGUGACGGUACCUGCAGAAGAAGCGCCGGCCAACUACGUGCCAGCAGCCGCGGUAAGACGUAGGGCGCGAGCGUUGUCCGGAUUUAUUGGGCGUAAAGAGCUCGUAGGCGGCUUGUCGCGUCGUUUGUGAAAAC